GUAUUAAAGGUCCCGCCUGCCCAGUGAAACUUUUCAACGGCCGCGGUAUUCUAACCGUGCAAAGGUAGCGUAAUCACUUGUCUUCUAAAUAAAGACUAGUAUGAACGGCUAAAUGAGGACAGACCUGUCUCAUAUGACCAAUCAGUGAAACUGAUCUUCCAGUACAAAAGCUGGAAUUACUACAUAAGACGAGAAGACCCUGUGGAGCUUAAAAUUAACCACUACAACACACCCCCUAGUCGAAAAUUUUGAGUUGGGGCGACUUUGGAAAAAAACACAACUUCCAAGCACAGGGGCACCACCCUACCCUAGGCCAACAAGCCAAAGCAACUAUAAACGACCCAGUCACACUGACCAACGAACCAAGUUACCCCAGGGAUAACAGCGCUAUCUUCUUCAAGAGUCCAUAUCGACAAGAAGGUUUACGACCUCGAUGUUGGAUCAGGACACCCAAAUGGUGCAGCCGCUAUUAACGGUUCGUUUGUUCAACGAUUAACAGUCCUACGUGAUCUGAGUUCAGACCGGAGAAAUCCAGGUCGGUU
rnacentral:rRNA from 1 species